UUUUGGUGUUCAGGACGCCGUAUGAUAUAGGGUAUCGGGGGCUCAGUAUUCAUCGUCCAGGUGAAAUUCUUGGAUUGAUUGAAGACUAACUACUGCGAAAGCAUUUGCCAGGAUGUUUUCAUUAAUCAGUGAACGAAAGUUAGGGGAUCGAAGACGAUCAGAUACCGUCGUAGUCUUAACCAUAAACUAUGCCGACUAGGGAUCGGACGGUGUUAGUAUUUUGACCCGUUCGGCACCUUACGAGAAAUCAAAGUUUUUGGGUUCUGUUCUAUUUUGUUGGUUUCUAGGACCGCCGUAAUGAUUAAUAGGGAUAGUCGGGGGCAUCAGUAUUCAAUCGUCAGAGGUGAAAUUCUUGGAUUGAUUGAAGACUAACUACUGCGAAAGCAUUUGCCAAGGAUGUUUUCAUUAAUCAGUGAACGAAAGUUAGGGGAUCGAAGACGAUCAGAUACCGUCGUAGUCUUAACCAUAAACUAUGCCGACUAGGGAUCGGACGGUGUUAGUAUUUUGACCCGUUCGGCACCUUACGAGAAAUCAAAGUUUUUGGGUUCUGGGGGGAGUAUGGUCGCAAGGCUGAAACUUAAAGAAAUGACGGAAGGCACCACCAGGCGUGAGCCGCGCAAAAGCCUGCGGCUUAAUUUGACUCAACACGGGGAAACUCACCAGGUCCAGACACAAUAAGGAUUGACAGAUUGAGAGCUCUUUCUUGAUUUGUGGGUGGUGUGCAUGGCCGUUCUUAGUGUGAGUGAUUUG
rnacentral:rRNA from 1 species